rnacentral:lncRNA from 1 species
UGGGGGGAGGGGCUGAGGGCAGCUUCUUGGCACCCGGGCUGCCCUGCCUCAUGGGUGCCCUUCUCAGGGCCUCUGGCCCCGCCUCCCAAGCCGCCCUCCUUCCUUGCUUCUGUCUCCUGACCUUUCAGUCCAAAGGGGCCCCAGGGGCUGCUGGGAGGAAGGUCAGGCCCUUGUCCUACUCCACACCCUCUGCUCUGCCCCUAACCACCCGGUGGGGGGUUACAAAGGCCCCACCCUGGGUGUUCUUUCUCUUCAAUCUCCAAGGAGGAUGGUGACAGCAGGAGGCUUGGGUCCUAGCCUGGCACCUGCCAGACAAGAGAAACUGGGAAAGGAGGCUAAAGGCCAAGGAGGCUGCAGACCCCGAGACCUACCCCGGUCACUGGACACUCACAGAUUUGCAGAUUGAUCGCAGAGUUGAACAACAGAGAAUGUGUGCACAGUGCCAGGCACAGGUGUGGUCAAGAUUCACCUGGGAGAGGAAGUGGGCAGGGGCAGAGGAGUGUGCCCACCUGAGCUGAAAGGCUGCAUGGCAGGUGACCAUUAUCACCAGUGUCGCCAGCCAGGUCACCUCUCUGAAUUUUGUGGUUGCAACCUCCAUGAUUCCCUAGAGCUGUUUUUACCCAGAACUAAUGAAAAAUUCUGCACAUUAAAUUCAUGCUAUUAGAA